CCAGGGGGCCGGGCAGCCGCGGGUGCUUGCAUCCGAGGAAAGUCCGGGCUCCACGAAACGAGGGUGGCGGGUAACGCCCGCCGCGGGCAACCGUAGGGAAAGUGCCGCAGAGAGUAGACCGCCGAUGGCUCUUUCGGGAGAUCAGGCAAGGCUGAAAGGGUGCGGUAAGAGCGCACCGGGGUUCUGGUAACAGCGCUCGCAUGGCAAACCCCACCCGGAGCAAGGCCGAAUAGGGGUGGCGCGCUCUCGCAAGAGGGCCGGGGUGUUUCGCCCCGAGUGUAACAGCUGCGACCGCCCGGGUUGGCUGCUUGAGCCGCGGAGCGAUCCGCGGCCCAGACGAAUGGCUGCCGCCGCGGAUACGGUCCGGUUUCGGAUACCGUCUGCGGAGACAGAACCCGGCUUACAGGCCCCCUGGCGCU
rnacentral:RNase_P_RNA from 1 species